ensembl:snRNA U6 U6 spliceosomal RNA
GUGCUCAAUUUGACAGCAUAUAUACUGAAAUUGGAACAAUACAGAGAAGACUAGCAUGGUCCCUGUGCAAGAAUGACAGAGUUCUAAAGCAUUCUUUAUUUUU